rnacentral:rRNA from 1 species
AGAUUAAGGCUCGUAGUGACCUGCGGAGGAUCAUUA